rnacentral:rRNA from 1 species
GGGUGCGAUCAUACCAGCAUUAAUGCACCGGAUCCCAUCAGAACUCCGCAGUUAAGCACGCUUGGGCUAGAGUAGUACUGGGAUGGGUGACCUCCCCGAAACUCCUAGUGUUGCACCCU